AACGAACGCUGGCGGCAUGCCUAACACAUGCAAGUCGAACGAGACCUUCGGGUCUAGUGGCGCACGGGUGCGUAACGCGUGGGAACCUGCCCUUAGGUUCGGAAUAACUCCCCGAAAGGGGUGCUAAUACCGGAUAAUGUCUUCGGACCAAAGAUUUAUCGCCUUUGGAUGGGCCCGCGUUGGAUUAGCUAGUUGGUAGGGUAAAAGCAUACCAAGGCGACGAUCCAUAGCUGGUCUGAGAGGAUGAUCAGCCACACUGGGACUGAGACACGGCCCAGACUCCUACGGGAGGCAGCAGUGGGGAAUAUUGGACGCUGGGCGAAAGCCUGACCCAGCCAUGCCGCGUGAGUGAUGAAGGCCUUAGGGUUGUAAAGCUCUUUUACCCGGGAUGAUAAUGACAGUACCGGGAGAAUAAGCUCCGGCUAACUACGUG
rnacentral:rRNA from 1 species